CAGAACAACAGUAACGAGUUCAACGCUACGGCGAGAAGCUCAGAAGUUUCUGUAUAUGGACUUGUCUCAGCUGAUAAUAUUGUUUUAAAGAUUGCGUUCAGUCUUUGAUCACCUCGUGCCUUAUUUUGGGUUCAUUUAAGGACACUUAAAACAAGUGUGGCAUAACGCAGCAUCCUUUGCAGAGAUCACGUGACGUGGACGCGACAGACCACUGAUCUCAGACAGUCCGAGUGCGCAUCAACAUGAGGAAUCUCUAUACUCUUCGGUUCUUUGUUGAUCCUGCCCAGUGUGUUUGGUGAUCAAGAUGAAGUGAAGAUGCUGAUGGAGGGAGAUUCUGUCACUCUUCACACUGAUGUUGCUGAACUACAGAGAGAUGAUACGAUAGAGUGGUCGCUUAAAAAUCAAGAUGUAAUUAUGGCAAAUAUUAUGAUGAUCAUGUUAAUGCCUGAUGAUGACAUUUUAAAAGACAUCAUCAGGUGGAGGAUCGGACGGGAGAUCUCACCAUCACAGACAUAAAGACCACAGACUCUGGAGUUUAUCGGCUGCAGAUCAGCGGCACCAGAGAGACUAAAAAGACGUUCAUAGUUUCUGUCAGUGGUGUGUUUGGUGAUGAAGUGAAGUCAGUGACAGUGAUGGAGGGACAUUCUGUUACUCUACACACUCAUCUCACAUACUAUUUGGAGAGAUACUGUGGACAUUUAAUGAUGAAACUAAAAUGAUAGCAAAGAUCAACAAAGAAACAAAUGAGAUGUCAAUGCCUGGAAAUGAGAUCUUCACAGACAGACUGCAGGUGAAUAAUCGGACGGGAGAUCUCACCAAGUCACCAUCACAAACAUCAAGACCUCAGACUCAGAGUAUCAGGUGCAGAUCAGAGUCAGCAGAGGGACAAAAAAGACGUUCAUAGUUUCUGUCAUUGGUGAGUCUUUUAAUGUGAUCUUGAUCUGCAUUCAGUGUAGCUUUAUGAGCUCUUUAUCUUUAUGAAUUAUCUCUUUUGGUGUUUUAUUUGUUGUAAGAUGUUGAAUUCAAACCUCAAAGUUAUAUUCAUAUUUAUAAGACACAGUAAACUGGGGUAGAUGUUAACAUCAGAACAUACCGUAUUGUCCCGAAUAUAAGACAACCCCACUUUUCAAGAUAUAUAAAGACAAAUCUCGUCUUAUAUCAAGAAAAU